UCGGCUAAUUGUGUUAUUUUAUUUUCAACCAGCAAUGUCAUCUGAGGAGUACCGCCAAUUCUGGUCAGGAUUCAUUGAUCUGUACCAUCACAACGAGUGCCUGUGGCGUGUCAGAAGCCCGGACUAUGCCAACAGAAUCAAGCGGAAUCGGGCAUAUCAGCAGCUUAUUGAGUACAGUAGAGGCAGAAACUCUGAUGUCGAUGUGAAUUGGGUGAAGAAAAAAAUUUCAAAUUUCCGAACAGUGUUCAUGAAGGAACGCAAGAAGGUGCAAGAUUCACAGCGAUCCGGAGCCGGGACUGAUGAGGUCUAUAAACCGAUGCUGUGGUACUAUGACCAAAUUCAGUUCAUUAUAGAGCAAGAGGCGCGGGUAAGGUCACGGGACGCUCUAGAUCCAGAGUCUCCAGUUCUUGUCGAAGAGGAGGCCCAGGAGAGUCUGGAUCUGCAAUGUCAUCUGAGGAGUACCGCCAAUUCUGGUCAAGAUUCAUUGAUCUGUACCAUCAGAACGAGUGCCUGUGGCGUGUCAGAAGCCCGGACUAUGCCAACAGAAUCAAGCGGAAUCGGGCAUAUCAGCAGCUUAUUGAGUACAGUAGAGGCAAAAACUCUGAUGUCGAUGUGAAUUGGGUGAAGAAAAAAAUUUAAAAUUUCCGAACAGUGUUCGUGAAGGAACGCAAGAAGGUGCAAGAUUCACAGCGAUCCGGAGCCGGGACCGAUGAGGUCUAUAAACCGAUGCUGUGGUACUAUGACCAAAUUCAGUUCAUUAUAGAGCAAGAGGCGCAGGUAAGGUCACGGGACGCUCUAGAUCCAGAGUCUCCAGUUCUUGUCGAAGAGGAGGCCCAGGAGAGUCUGGAUCUGGAUGCUACCCCGGAGCUGGAGGUGGAGCCUACCACAGGCCAAGGGGCAGAAGUGGAGGAGCCGUUGGCUCCCCCACAGGCGCCCCCAGGAAGACCGAGGCGCACGGCAAGGAGGACCGCUUCUGCCCCCUAUAGCAACCCCUCUGUCUCCCAGCAGUUUUUUCAACGCGCUGAGGAGGUUUUGCAUAGGCCCCCAGAUGCCGAACAACAAUUUGGCAAUUUUAUUGCAUCGGAAAUGCGCCUGAUGACGGAUGAACAAAAAUUCAUCCUCCAACGGUUAGUCUCUGAGGCUACCUCACGCGGCAGGCGCCAAACACUGGUGCCGGCGUGUGAGAUAGUGCCAACUGACCCUUGGUUUCACCCAAAUUUGGCCCGUCCCCCCUUCCCAAACAACCCCCCCCCCCCCAUGGAGCAUGCGCCGGUAAACCCCCCUCAGCAACCGUAUUUUUUUCCGUCGGGAGCCACACAGCCCAGCCCCUCCCCCCAAUCUAGCACCUCGUCCAGUGGCAUGUACUCUGACAUGCCGAGUACACAGUCCUCUGUGCUGGGCGACCCACGCUUUUUUAAUUUAUAAUUAGUUUUUUGUACCCGGUUUUUUAGUUUUGUUGGAAAAAUCUGCUGGUGACCUUAUCCUACGCUCUUGCUCAAAGUGAACUGAAGUCAUUAGUACUGCAGCGUCGGUUUUGUGACCUCUCUGUCCCGGACUACGGAUCGUUGUGAUGACUGCACUUCUUGUGUUCCUUCAAGACUGUUCGUAAAUUUGUGGUUGUUCUUCACCCAAGGCAAAAUCGCACUGUGUUUGCCUCUACUGUACUCGGGUAUGCCCGAUUCCUGUUCUGUUGGCAUAGUCCCUGUCAAAAGGCACUCGUUCUCAUGGUACAUCGUAUGAAUCCUGGCCAGAGUUGGCAGUGUCAGUUGAUUAUUUUUAUAAAGUUGUAAAAAAAAUCAA